UCCCCGUCACCGAGGCAGUCCAAAUAGAAAAAUUCAACUAUUUACAAGGGUUGCGCUCGUUGAUGGACUUAACCAAACAUCUCACGACACGAGCUGACGACGGCCAUGCAGCACCUGUCACCUGAUUCCCGAAGGCACAGUCUCCUUUCGGAGACCUUCCAGGGAUGUCAAGCCUUGGUAAGGUUCUUCGCUUAUCAUCGAAUUAAACAACACGCUCCACCGCUUGUGCGGGUCCCCGUCAAUUCCUUUAUGUUUUAAGCUUGCGCUCGUACUCCACAGGCGGGAUGCUUAACGCGUUAGCUUCGCAACACAGCGGGUCGAUACGCUGUACUGCUAGCAUCCAUCGUUUACGGCGUGGACUAC
rnacentral:misc_RNA from 1 species